AGAGUUUGAUCCUGGCUCAGGACGAACGCUGGCGGCGCGCCUAACACAUGCAAGUCGAACGAGCGAGAGAGAGCUUGCUUUCUCGAGCGAGUGGCGAACGGGUGAGUAACGCGUGAGGAACCUGCCUCAAAGAGGGGGACAACAGUUGGAAACGACUGCUAAUACCGCAUAAGCCCACGGCUCGGCAUCGAGCAGAGGGAAAAGGGGCAAUCCGCUUUGAGAUGGCCUCGCGUCCGAUUAGCUAGUUGGUGAGGUAACGGCCCACCAAGGCGACGAUCGGUAGCCGGACUGAGAGGUUGAACGGCCACAUUGGGACUGAGACACGGCCCAGACUCCUACGGGAGGCAGCAGUGGGGAAUAUUGCACAAUGGGGGAAACCCUGAUGCAGCGACGCCGCGUGGAGGAAGAAGGUCUUCGGAUUGUAAACUCCUGUUGUUGAGGAAGAUAAUGACGGUACUCGACAAGGAAGUGACGGCUAACUACGUGCCAGCAGCCGCGGUAAAACGUAGGUCACAAGCGUUGUCCGGAAUUACUGGGUGUAAAGGGAGCGCAGGCGGGAAGACAAGUUGGAAGUGAAAACUAUGGGCUCAACCCAUAAAUUGCUUUCAAAACUGCUGGCCUUGAGUAGUGCAGAGGUAGGUGGAAUUCCCGGUGUAGCGGUGGAAUGCGUAGAUAUCGGGAGGAACACCAGUGGCGAAGGCGACCUACUGGGCACCAACUGACGCUGAGGCUCGAAAGCAUGGGUAGCAAACAGGAUUAGAUACCCUGGUAGUCCAUGCCGUAAACGAUGAUUACUAGGUGUUGGAGGGUUGAUCCCUUCAGUGCCGCAGUUAACACAAUAAGUAAUCCACCUGGGGAGUACGACCGCAAGGUUGAAACUCAAAGGAAUUGACGGGGGCCCGCACAAGCAGUGGAGUAUGUGGUUUAAUUCGACGCAACGCGAAGAACCUUACCAAGUCUUGACAUCCCUUGACAGGCAUAGAAAUAUGUUUUCUCUUCGGAGCAAGGAGACAGGUGGUGCAUGGUUGUCGUCAGCUCGUGUCGUGAGAUGUUGGGUUAAGUCCCGCAACGAGCGCAACCCUUAUGGUCAGUUACUACGCAAGAGGACUCUGGCCAGACUGCCGUUGACAAAACGGAGGAAGGUGGGGAUGACGUCAAAUCAUCAUGCCCUUUAUGACUUGGGCUACACACGUGCUACAAUGGCGUUAAACAAAGAGAAGCAAGACCGCGAGGUGGAGCAAAACUCAGAAACAACGUCCCAGUUCGGACUGCAGGCUGCAACUCGCCUGCACGAAGUCGGAAUUGCUAGUAAUCGUGGGUCAGCAUGCCACGGUGAAUACGUUCCCGGGCCUUGCACAAACGGCCCGUCA
rnacentral:rRNA from 1 species